GACGAACGCUGGCGGCGCGCCUAACACAUGCAAGUCGAACGGAGCUUAGAGAGCUUGCUUUUUAAGCUUAGUGGCGAACGGGUGAGUAACGCGUGAGUAACCUGCCCUAGAGUGGGGGACAACAGUUGGAAACGACUGCUAAUACCGCAUAAGCCCACGGUGCCGCAUGACACUGAGGGAAAAGGAUUUAUUCGCUUUAGGAUGGACUCGCGUCCAAUUAGCUAGUUGGUGAGGUAACGGCCCACCAAGGCGACGAUUGGUAGCCGGACUGAGAGGUUGAACGGCCACAUUGGGACUGAGACACGGCCCAGACUCCUACGGGAGGCAGCAGUGGGGGAUAUUGCACAAUGGGGGAAACCCUGAUGCAGCGACGCCGCGUGGAGGAAGAAGGUUUUCGGAUUGUAAACUCCUGUCGUUAGGGACGAUAAUGACGGUACCUAACAAGAAAGCACCGGCU
rnacentral:rRNA from 1 species